UGCCUGUUUAACUGCCUUAGGCUGGGU
rnacentral:sRNA from 1 species